GUUAAAAAGCUCGUAGUUGGAUUUCUGUUGAGGGCGACCGGUGUACACUUCGUGUAUUAUUUGGUUCGGUCUCGGCAUCCUCUUGGGGAACGUUUCUGGACUUUAUUGGACAGGGCGGAAUUCAAGACUUUUACUUUGAGGAAAUUAGAGUGUUCACGGCAGGCAAGCGCUUUGAAUACAUUAGCAUGGAAUAAUAAUAUAGGACCUUCGUUCUAUUUUGUUGGUUUCUAGAACUUGGGUAAUGAUUAAUAGGGACAAUUGGGGGCAUUCGUAUUAACGCGUCAGAGGUGGAAUUCUUGGAUUGCGUUACGACGAACUACUGUGAAAGCAUUUGCCAAAGAUGUUUUCAUUGAUCAAGAACGAAAGUAUGGGGAUCGAAGACGAUUAGAUACCGUCGUAGUCUAUACCAUAAACUAUGCCAACUAGAGAUUGGAGGAGUUCUUUUUUUAGGCUCCUUCAGCAUCUUAUGAGAAAUCAGAGUUUUUGGGUUCCGGGGGAGUAUGGUCGCAAGGCUGAAACUUAAAGGAAUUGACGGAAGGGCACCACCAGGAGUGGAGCCUGCGGCUUAAUUUGACUCAACACGGG
rnacentral:rRNA from 1 species